AUUGAACGCUGGCGGCAUGCUUUACACAUGCAAGUCGAACGGCAGCGCGGGCUUCGGCCUGGCGGCGAGUGGCGAACGGGUGAGUAAUACAUCGGAACGUGCCCAGUAGUGGGGGAUAGCUCGGCGAAAGCCGGAUUAAUACCGCAUACGACCUGAGGGUGAAAGCGGGGGAUCUUCGGACCUCUCGCUAUUGGAGCGGCCGAUGGCCGAUUAGCUAGUUGGUGGGGUAAAGGCCUACCAAGGCGACGAUCUGUAGCUGGUCUGAGAGGACGACCAGCCACACUGGGAGUGAGACACGGCCCAGACUCCUACGGGAGGCAGCAGUGGGGAAUUUUGGACAAUGGGCGAAAGCCUGAUCCAGCAAUGCCGCGUGUGUGAUGAAGGCCUUCGGGUUGUAAAGCACUUUUGGCGGGAACGAAAAGGACUGUGCCAAUACCACGGUUCGAUGACGGUACCCGCAGAAUAAGCACCGGCUAACUACGUG
rnacentral:rRNA from 1 species